rnacentral:rRNA from 1 species
AUACGGAGGGUGCAAGCGUUGUUCGGAAUCACUGGGCGUAAAGGGCGCGCAGGCGGUUUGGUAAGUCAGAUGUGAAAGCCCAUGGCUCAACCAUGGAAGUGCAUUUGAAACUGUCAGACUUGAGUACUAGAGGGGAAAGUGGAAUUCCCGGUGUAGAGGUGAAAUUCGUAGAUAUCGGGAGGAAUACCGGUGGCGAAGGCGACUUUCUGGCUAGAUACUGACGCUGAGGCGCGAAAGCGUGGGGAGCAAACAGGAUUAGAUACCCGAGUAGUCC